rnacentral:rRNA from 1 species
CCUACGGGAGGCUGCAGUGGGGAAUAUUGGACAAUGGGCGAAAGCCUGAUCCAGCCAUGCCGCGUGUGUGAAGAAGGCCUUCGGGUUGUAAAGCACUUUCAGUGGGGAAGAAAGCCUUGGGGCUAAUACCCUCGAGGAAGGACAUCACCCACAGAAGAAGCACCGGCUAACUCCGUGCCAGCAGCCGCGGUAAUACGGAGGGUGCGAGCGUUAAUCGGAAUUACUGGGCGUAAAGCGCGCGUAGGCGGUCUGAUAAGCCGGUUGUGAAAGCCCCGGACUCAACCUGGGAACGGCAUCCGGAACUGUCAGGCUAGAGUGCAGGAGAGGAAGGUAGAAUUCCCGGUGUAGCGGUGAAAUGCGUAGAGAUCGGGAGGAAUACCAGUGGCGAAGGCGGCCUUCUGGACUGACACUGACGCUGAGGUGCGAAAGCGUGGGUAGCAAACAGGAUUAGAUACCCGGGUAGUC